UUCUCCAGUUAAUUAAAAAUAAGACCACAACGCUGAUUCUAUUCACGAGACAAAUCACCCUUCAAGAUGUGUGGUGUGGGGCUCUGUAUAGCCUAAUAAAAACAGACAAACAAACUACUGUUUUCCAUAAAACCUGAUUGUCCCCAUUCACCGUGAGUGUUCUAUAGAGGACAGAUGAUUCGGUCGCAGCAAACUCAAGAACCAUCUCCUGCCCCUAAGUUCCUAUUCAAAGACUCCGGUUCCUCAAAUCAUGGUCAGAGCAUUUGAAACUGAAAUUAUCAACACCAGUUUCAUACCAAAAAAUCGAGCUUAAUCCUGAAAGGUGUUUUGAUGGAUGAUCUCUAUCAAAAUUCAUCAUUCUCUCAAUUGGAUGAACCAGAUCCUAAAGAGAAGACUAUGGAUGUGUUAACAAAAGACCUUGACUAUAUGGAGAAAAUAAAGGAGUUGCAGGGUUACCUUGACAUGUUAUUCAAAGAGUGAGCAGCUCUCCUCCCAUUGACAAUGCCGCAGUUUCCUCCCAUUGACAAUGCAUCAGUUUCCUCCAAUUUGAAACUAGAUGGAAGCUCUACCCUUCUGAAGCUCUCUCCCAUUUCAGGGGCUCAGCUACAGGUCAUCAAAAUUGUCCUCAAAGUCUUGGUGUGAUACACCAUGACCAUGACAGAAAUUGACUGCACUCACCAACUGAUGGAAAAACUUUCUUGCUAAGUCUUCCGACUCAUGGAUGCCAAAUCAGAUGAUUAGUGAGUGUUCGAUCUGUUCCUUUCUAACCCCAUCUUGAAGGUUUUGCUUGCUGUCUCAUCUUGGGACAUAGCUCAUGCUUUGUAAUGAAUCAAAUGUAAAGAAGAUAGCGAAGCCAGGUUGCUCAGAAGAAGUUCUGAAUGUGGCCUUGAGUUCCAUGUCCUCUCUUGUCAACUUACUCUCCUCCAUGUCCUCCAGAUCAAAAACCCUGGCCUCACUUUGACAAUGUUACCAUGAUUGGAGAACAAUCUGUUACCUAAUCUUGUUAUAUUUGCUUUUAUUGUACAAUGUCAAUUGAAGUCUACAUACAAGAACUGUGUAUAUAUUUACUUCAUGAGAGUACCCUUUAGAGUAUGUAAUCACCAUAAGGAGCACAUUUACUGAGCCUCUUUUGGAGACAGAUAAAGCACGGUUUAGAUCCAUAGGAAAGGAGCUCCUUUGUUACUUUUACCUAUUUCUUCACACACUUUCAAUGAUUUACAAAUAUUACAAUCUA